UUUUGAUUACAUUCUAUUGAAAAGAGAUGGUGUGCUGCAGGGAUUCCGGAGAUGCUAACGGCCGUUGUACGCUGCUGCUCGAAGCAGCUCAGCAAUGGAUGAGAACUAACACGAAGGAGAAGGGCGAUUAUUCCUCAGAGUAGUUUCAUCUAUUUUUCGAUGUAUCAAGAACGUGGAAUCUACAAAUGAAUAUGAACACAUAAAACAGAGUUCAGACUGCAUAUCAAACAGGCCUUAGAUGGAUUUCAGACGACUUAGUUUCGGCUGUUGUUUGGCAUUGAGCUGUUGGUGAAUACUCCAAUUUUGUCUGAAUGUGGAUCAAAUGUUUGUCGUCUUGUUCUGGUUCUGAUAUUUGUAGCCUUUCACUUUUUCAGUGCCUUUGAGAACUGAGGUCUUUUUUUCAUCUUGAUAUUGUAGAAAUUAGAAAUCUUCUCAAUGUGAAUUGACAUUUUGUUUACUACUAAGUUCUAAGUUUGUCCUUCAGUGGGACCUAACCCCUGAAUAACCCCUCAAUUACUCUUGAAAAGCCUAGAAAAUGAACCAUUUAUCCUUUACCCUUGUUUGGGUCAAUAAUCCAUAUCUCUCUUCUUGUGCUGCACCUAUUCUUAGAGAGGGAAAAAAAAAAAAAAAAGAAAAGAAAAGAAAACGCGAAAUGAUCUCUUAGUUUUCUAACCCUUUGAAAAGUAAGGUCGUCAAAUGGCUCAUCGGGAGUCAGAAGCAAGCGGAGUUAAAGAUCAUUGGAACUUCUUUAAAAAGCUUUUUCCACUUAGAAUUCUUUCAGCAAGUUACUUCUGUUUCUUCUCUCUCACUUGUUACCUCAUAAAAAGUCAAAAUACAUGUGCUGUAGAGACAUGAGUUCAAAUAUCUAGCCAGGGAUAUUGCCUCUUGUUCUUUUUAUUCUAUCGGUCGUGAAUCGUUCAAUAGAUGGCAAGCUCAAAGAUGGUGGACAGAAAACCAGGAGAAUAAGUUAUGUAAUCAUACAUGUUCAAAGGCUUAUUCAAUAGCUACGGCCUCGUUUAAUAACUGUUAGUUUUUUGUUUUUGAAGAUUGUGAUUGUUUUCUUACAAUUUCUCAACUUUGAUUUUUCAUCUUUCCUAGGUAAAUAUUUAGAUUCUUUAGCCAAUUUCUUUUUUUUUUAAAAAAAAUGAUACUUUGACUUUUCAAAACUUGGUCUGGAUUUUGAAAACACUCCUAAAAUAUAUACAUAAAACAAAGAAACCAAUAUGUGUAAAUAGUAUUCAUAGGCUUAAUUUUUAAGCACAAAAAAUAAAAAAUCAAAUGGUUACCAACUACGUCUAACGCCUAUGCAGUUCACUUCCUAACCCUUCCAAUAUCUGAAAAUGAGGUGAAAAAUCUGAUUCCAUGCGUUGAAAGGAUGAGCUGAGACUCCAUAUCCAUAUCACUAUACCGGGGCACGGCCUGUGGCAGAAUAGGGAGUUAGACGUGUUGGCUUCAGGUAUUGAAGAUUUUUAAUUUUGAAAUUAACCGUUUUCCCCCAUUAUAUUUACUAUAUUACAUCCACACACAACCUCUUACUAGUUUGUGAGAAAGAACUGCACAAACUUAGGAUCUUCUUAAUUUACUUCAAGUCUUCAUUUCUGAUUAGCAAAGCCAACUUCAAAGGAUUAUUCGGAGUGAAGGUUUAAGUUUGAAGUUUGGAUUAAGAUGCAAAACACGAUUUAUUGGGCAACCUAUGAGCUUUGACACUGACAGUACUCCAAACCCACUCAUUCACCCAAUUUUUCUUAAGUUUAAGUUUACUUACAACCAAUUUGAGUUGUAGAUAUUAUUUUAUAGAUAUGGAUACUAAAUAUUUGUGAUAUUUAAUGUAUGUCUGGAUAUAAUGUCAAUUAAUAUCUAAGAGUUAGAUGUAUGUAUUUGAAUAUGACAGAAAAAUUAAUGUCGAAAACUUAACUACACGUAUUUGUUUUUCAGGUUUUAUUCUUGAGAGGUAAAUAAUAUUUUUAUGAACUGAUCAAAAUUAAAACUGAAGCUGGAAAAUUAGGCUUUAUGCUCAUAAUUAUAUUACUAUAAAGGUUGUUGCCUGCUUUUGACUAAUGCACUGUGGCUGCCUACUGUUUCUCAUAUUAUAUAUCCAAUUUCAUUUCUUUUUCUUUCUAGACCUGCGAAUGUUAGGAAUCAAACGAUAUGGUGAAAGUCAAUGCUUGCUACUAUAUUAAAAGACAAUUUAGACCAUAGAUUAUUAGGGUCACUCUGAAUAUAUAGUUCCAAUUAUCAUUUUAAAGGUCGAUAGUUAUAUUCCCACCCUUAGAAAGAAAAAAAAUUAUAGAUUAAUAAGAACCAAAAGCUAACGUCAGCUAUGUAUUUAUUUCCUGUGAGAACCAAGUUUUCGUAGAGAAGAAUUAAAAGAACAUUAGUAAUCAAAGGAUGGUAAAAGCUUAACCUUAAACUUUCUUUAUAUUGAUAGAUACUUACAACUUGGGCUUAAAACUUUUUUUUUUUUUUUUUCCUUUUGGAUCAAUAACAUAAGGGUGUGGGAUUCGAAUCUUUGAUCUCUUUAUUAGAGAUUUUAUUUGAUUGACUUUAUUUUUUUUUUUCUAAGACAUUGGUUUCUGCAGUUGACUCAAACAAAGUCUUAACAUCAGUUAGUGACAACAAAGUUUUUUCCUGCAAAAUAUUUUUUUCCUAAUAUGGAAAUAUCUAGCAGAUUUGUUCCGUUUGAUAUCUUCCUUUAUUAAGGCGUGACAUAUCUUUUCCAAUUUGGGAGCUAUUUCCUUUUUCUAGAUCCGUUUAUAAAAGUCAUAUUAGGUUAUUUUCUGAAGGAAGCCGUUUUUUAUUAGCUGCAUUGUGUUUUUGAGGGAGCAAGACGUUCGACGGUCGAGUUGUUCUACAUUGUUAUCUUGCUCGUUGUUCAUUAUUCUGAUGUGCAUGAUUUUCACUCGUUGGAGUGUUCUACUUUGAAGUUGAUCUCAUACUUAGGGGGAGCUUAAGUCUUUGCUGCUGGAGAAGGGAUUCACAGUCUUAGGAGAGCCUAAGACUCAACAUCAGUGAAAGGAGUUCAUUGAAUUAGGAAGAUCAUCGUGAGUGGAGUCUUAUCUGUCAUCAAAAGCCAUGGUUGAAGAAACGACGAAGUUCCGUAGCGGAAGGGGAUCGUUCCCAAUUUUAUUUUUCACAGAAUCCCAAAUUUACAGCAUAAAAACAUUUAUGCAUUAUAAUUUUUUAGUAUGUUGAAAAAGAAGGAAUUAGGGAAAAGAUAACACUUACCCUUAAAGCCAAAUUUUUUUUCACGAAUUCCCUCGAACUGGUCACAAACACUUUGUACCAAGAACCUGUUGAUGUCCUAAAUCUCGUAGGAUCCUAUAGUUUGUAAUUGUAUCGUACAAACAUUUUAUUUAUUUAAUAAAAUAUAAGAUAUUUUAUUUGACAUUUAG